CUCUCUCUCUCUCACGACUGUAAGCAAGGCAGACGACUGUGUCGAGCGAUGACAACAACAGUGUGAGACGACAUCGAGCAACGGCAGACGAUGACGUCGAGCGAUGGCGAGCAGCGUGAGACUGCGAGCAAUGGUAGACGACGGCAACGUGAACUAGGUUGAUGAUGUUCCAUUUGAUGAUGUGCUAGCUGUUAUUGGCAACUACGAUAUCUGUAUUGUAAAAAACAUGCGGCUAAAUGCAGAUGCUAUUUCUUGUGCAAAUAGGACAAAGCUAAUAAUGCAGUAUGGUGUUGGGCUGAAAGAAUGAGAUGCACAUUGCUGUAAAGCAGAAGCUGCUUGGAGAGCCAGUUGGUGAAACACUGUUGGGAAAAAAAGUGAGUUUUAAUUAUCUUGAUUUUUCUGCCACAAGUUUUCCUACAAAUGCAUUUGUACAUUUUGUGUUUUCUUUUCUUAUUUUCUUUUCAUUGUUUUACUUUUUUAAUAUCCUAGAAUAACUUUAUGUUGAACAAAUGCUUCAAAUAAAUGAUUUAAAGUUGCUUGCUACCACAUCUAGAUGGUUUUGAAUAUAAUCAUGAUUAUUAUUUACUUGCUACCACACCUAGAGUUGUGCAUGCUUUGAUGUAGCUUUCCAUUUACUGUUGAUAUUAAUGUGAUUUCUAGCAAAUUAUGUUCUAUGCAUAUUGAUGGUUUACUGUAUUAAUUUAAUUGAAUCUAGUGUCUGAACUGCUAAUGGAUGUAAAUAUAGUAGGUAGUUGAAUCUUGAUUGUUCCCUUAGCUAUCAAUAUGAGAUUUUGAGUGGUUAAAAAAUUCAAGCAUUUUGAUGUGUUCAUGGCAUCAUAGAUAUGAAAGUGCGUUUUAGGUUUGCUUUUGCUUAUUUAUUCAUAUGGGUUGGAAUUUAACCAUACAAAGAAGCAAAACACAAGGUGUAAAAGGUCAUGUCUACCAUUAACAUUGAAUUCAACCUCGUGGAAGGGUUUCAAGUAACAAUUUUGUCAUUCUUUUUCAGCCUCGUGAAUUCAAGGUGUUGACACCCCAAAACACCAAACGGCAUCAGAUUAGCACGAAACUUGGCACACACGGCCACCUAGGCACGAGAGACUUGUGGGAGAAGAUAGGACUCGAAUCGGGUUCUUGGUUUGCGAGUUAGAGCCGGAUUUCAGUCUAGGGAAAUUAGUUCAUUAAGAAACGUAGAAUCCGAGGUAUUGACGCCUCAAAAUCACCAAACAACGUCAGAUUAGCACGAAACUUGGCAUACACAACUGCCAAGGCACGAGAGAAUUAUGGGAGAAGACGGGGCUCGAAUCGGGUUCCCAAUUUGGGAGUUAGAGAUUUCGAUCUAGGCAAACUAAUUCCUUAAGGAACUUAGAAUCUGAGGUGUUGACACCUCAAAAUCACCAAACGACGUCGGAUUAGCACGAAACUUGGCACACACGACCGCCAGGGAACGAGAGAAUUGUGGGAGAAGACAUGACUAAAAUCGGGUUCCCGGUUUGGGAGUUAGAGCCGGAUUUCAGUCUAGGCCAACUAAUUUCUUAAGAAGCUUAGAAUUUGAGGUGUUAACGCCUCAUAAUCACCAAACGGCGUUGGAUUAGCAUGAAACUUGGCACGCAUGACCACUUUGACACAAGAGAGGGACUCAAAUCGGGUUCCUGAUUUGGGAGUUAGAGUCGGAUUCGGUCUAGGCAAUCUAAUUCCUUAAGAAACUUAGAAUUCGAGGUGUUAACGCCCUAAAAUCACCAAAUGGGGUCAAAUUAGAACGAAACUUGGCACACACACCACUUAAGCACGAGAGACUUGUGGGAGAAGACGGGACUCAAAUCAGGUUCUCGAUUUGGGAGGUAGAGCUAGAUUUUGGUCUAGGCGAUCUAGUUCCUUAAGAAAUUUAGAAUUCGAGGUGUUGACGCCCCAAAAUCACCAGACGGCGUCAGAUUAGCACAAAACUUGGCACGCAUGACCGCCUAGGCAUGAGAGACUUGUGGGAGAAGAU